rnacentral:tRNA from 1 species
AUUAUUUUGGCAGAUUAGUGCAUUAAAUUUAGAAUUUAAUAAUAUAGUUUUUUUUACUAUAAAUAAUAC